rnacentral:rRNA from 1 species
UACGAAGGGGGCUAGCGUUGCUCGGAAUCACUGGGCGUAAAGGGCGCGUAGGCGGCGUUUUAAGUCGGGGGUGAAAGCCUGUGGCUCAACCACAGAAUGGCCUUCGAUACUGGGACGCUUGAGUAUGGUAGAGGUUGGUGGAACUGCGAGUGUAGAGGUGAAAUUCGUAGAUAUUCGCAAGAACACCGGUGGCGAAGGCGGCCAACUGGACCAUUACUGACGCUGAGGAGCGAAAGCCAGGGGAGCAAACGGG